rnacentral:rRNA from 1 species
GAUGAACGCCGGCGGCGUGCCUAAUACAUGCAAGUCGAGCGAACAGACGAGGAGCUUGCUCCUCUGACGUUAGCGGCGGACGGGUGAGUAACACGUGGAUAACCUACCUAUAAGACUGGGAUAACUUCGGGAAACCGGAGCUAAUACCGGAUAAUAUAUUGAACCGCAUGGUUCAAUAGUGAAAGACGGUUUUGCUGUCACUUAUAGAUGGAUCCGCGCCGCAUUAGCUAGUUGGUAAGGUAACGGCUUACCAAGGCAACGAUGCGUAGCCGACCUGAGAGGGUGAUCGGCCACACUGGAACUGAGACACGGUCCAGACUCCUACGGGAGGCAGCAGUAGGGAAUCUUCCGCAAUGGGCGAAAGCCUGACGGAGCAACGUCGCGUGAGUGAUGAAGGUCUUCGGAUCGUAAAACUCUGUUAUUAGGGAAGAACAAAUGUGUAAGUAACUAUGCACGUCUUGACGGUACCUAAUCAGAAAGCCACGGCUAACUACGUG